UAACCUGCCCAAGAGACUGGGAUAACACCUGGAAACAGAUGCUAAUACCGGAUAACAACACUAGACGCAUGUCUAGAGUUUGAAAGAUGGUUCUGCUAUCACUCUUGGAUGGACCUGCGGUGCAUUAGCUAGUUGGUAAGGUAACGGCUUACCAAGGCAAUGAUGCAUAGCCGAGUUGAGAGACUGAUCGGCCACAUUGGGACUGAGACACGGCCCAAACUCCUACGGGAGGCAGCAGCC
rnacentral:rRNA from 1 species